rnacentral:tRNA from 1 species
GCCAGCAUGGCCCAAUGGUACGGCACAGGCCUUGAGAGCCUGAUCCCUAAAGGAUAUCCAGGUUCGAUUCCUGGUGCUGGCG